UACGGAAGGCAGCAGGUGGGGAAUAUUGCACAAUGGGCGAAAGCCUGAUGCAGCUAUGCCGCGUGUAUGAAGAAGGCCUUAGGGUUGUAAAGUACUUUCAUCGGGGAGGAAAAACAAAACUAAUAAUUUUAUUUCUUGACGUUACCCGAAAAAGAAGCACCGGCUAACUCCGUGCCAGCAGCCGCGGUAAUACGGAGGGUGCUAGCGUUAAUCAGAAUUACUGGGCGUAAAGAGCACGUAGGUGGUUUUUUUAAGUCAGAUGUGAAAUCCCUGGGCUUAACCUAGGAACUGCAUUUUGAAACUGAAAUACUAGAGUAUCGUAGAGGGAGGUAGAAUUCUAGGUGUAGCGGUGAAAUGCGUAGAUAUCUGGAGGAAUACCUGUGGCGAAAGCGGCCUCCUAAACCGAAUACUGACACUGAGGGUGCGAAAGCGU
rnacentral:rRNA from 1 species